UCACGAUGAAGAUCGAUAUGAAGAAAAUUUUCAGUUUCUUCGGCGGCGGUGCACCACUCCGUAUAGACUGAAGAUUGAAACAACUCGGUUUCCCGGGAACAGUCUACGAUUACAAUAUUUUAAUAAUUUCAUUCUGAAGCUCAAAGAAGACGAAUGAAGAAAUAAGAGCUAGCUGUUUCUUCGGCGGUGAUGGUGCACGUUUGAACUGUAAAUGUGGUGCAGCUCGAUUUCGCCGAACAGCGUCGAAGAAUACUUACAAUCACGAUGAACAUCGAUAUGAAGAAAAUUUGCAGUUUCUUCGGCGGCGGUGCACUACUACGUAUAGUCUGAAGAUUGACACAACUCGGUUUCACGGGAACAGUCGACGCUUAAAUCUUGCCAUAAUAUCGGAAAAACAAAAAAACUGAAAUAAUUACGCUAUAAUGUCAACCCGGAGGACGAUUGACAGUAUCAUUAAGAAGAAGCACAUCUGAAGAACAAAAAUUAGUGUCGCAAGGCUGUGUUUGUUUAAUAAUAUAAU